UGGGGAAUAUUGCACAAUGGGCGCAAGCCUGAUGCAGCCAUGCCGCGUGUGUGAAGAAGGCCUUCGGGUUGUAAAGCACUUUCAGCGAGGAGGAAGGGUAGUGUGUUAAUAGCACAUUGCAUUGACGUUACUCGCAGAAGAAGCACCGGCUAACUCCGUGCCAGCAGCCGCGGUAAUACGGAGGGUGCAAGCGUUAAUCGGAAUUACUGGGCGUAAAGCGCACGCAGGCGGUUUGUUAAGUCAGAUGUGAAAUCCCCGCGCUUAACGUGGGAACUGCAUUUGAAACUGGCAAGCUAGAGUCUUGUAGAGGGGGGUAGAAUUCCAGGUGUAGCGGUGAAAUGCGUAGAGAUCUGGAGGAAUACCGGUGGAGA
rnacentral:rRNA from 1 species